GUCUACCAACAAGAUCAUAUGUUGGAUUCGACUGGACCUGACUAAUCCGUAGGAGUAAGAUAGUUCCGGUAGACAGCACCACGUUUCUUAAAUGCAGCUCA
rnacentral:misc_RNA from 1 species